rnacentral:rRNA from 1 species
UAAGGAAUAUUGGACAAUGGAGGCAACUCUGAUCCAGCCAUGCCGCGUGAAGGAAUAAGGCCCUAUGGGUUGUAAACUUCUUUUAGACGGGACAAAACCCCUUUACGUGUAAAGGGUUGAUGGUACUGUCAGAAUAAGCAUCGGCUAACUUCGUGCCAGCAGCCGCGGUAAUACGAAGGAUGCAAGCGUUAUCCGGAAUUAUUGGGUUUAAAGGGUGCGUAGGCGGACUAAUAAGUCAGUGGUGAAAGCCUGCAGCUUAACUGCAGAAUUGCCAUUGAUACGGUUAGUCUUGAGUACAGUUGAGGUAGGCGGAAUGUGUCAUGUAGCGGUGAAAUGCUUAGAUAUGACACAGAACACCGAUUGCGAAGGCAGCUUGCUAAGCUGUAACUGACGCUGAGGCACGAAAGCGUGGGGAGCAAACA